CAGUAGCCGCGGGAAUACGUAGGGUGCGAGCGUUAAUCGGAAUUACUGGGCGUAAAGCGUGCGCAGGCGGUUUUGUAAGACAGGCGUGAAAUCCCCGGGCUCAACUCGAAGUCUGCAUCGAAAACUGCCGGGCUUGAGUAUGGGAGAGGUGAGUGGAAUUUCCGGUGUGGCGGUGAAAUGCGUAGACAUCGGAAGGAACACCUGUGGCGAAAGCGGCUCACUGGACCGUAACUGACGCUGAGGCUCGAAAGCUAGGGGAGCAAACAGGAUAAGAUACCCCCGUAGUCCCUGUCUCUUAUAC
rnacentral:rRNA from 1 species